rnacentral:tRNA from 2 species
UAGGAUUUAGUGUAGUCUGGUAGCACGGAGAUUUUUGAAUUCUUAAGUCUAGGUUCAAUUCCUAGAGUUCUAG